UGUCGAAUCUCUAUAAGGUCUUGAUAGGUGUUGGCAUGUUUCAAAAUUAUACAUGGAUUACUCACAGUGGAUGCUUAAUAUACCAUGAUAGCUUUGUAUUUUAAUUUUUUGGAACCAAGUAAAAUGACCUGCAAAAAUAAUUUGUUCUUCUUUUUUAAUGUGAAGUGAAUAUUUUGGAAAUUUGUUAGGAUGAUUUAUAGAGUAAGACCUUACAAGCCGGCACUCCUGUUUUAAUGUGUACAAAGCUGUUCAUUUCGGUUUAUGGCUAAAUAGGUUAAUGUCGUGCAUUAUUGCUUUCUGUUGGUUUGAUUAUUUCAUGUAUGUACUUCUUCUUGAAUUUUUGCACCUCUGGGAAAUUGCUUGAUAUGAUGUGCGGUUCUUUGUAUAUGUGUGUUUAUGGCAGUUAAUAUAAAAUGUAUCUCACUACAUUCUCCUUAAAAGACAAGGAACUUGGGAUUGUUAGCUCGCUUCCAUCUAAGAAGAAAAUAUCAUCCUCUUCUUCCACUCUAAUAAGUAUGCCUACACGUAGAGAUUCCAUUGGCUGCCAUUCUUCUGCACAGGGAUCAGGCGCAAGGAUGGGAAGGAAAAAAGAUGUAGUAAUUGCAUCUCACCAAGGAGACACCUCAAUGGAAAGUUGGACCAAGUGGGGAUAAGACUUUGUGUAAUGCUUGUGGGAUCAGAUAAAAAAAACAGAAAGCUUUGUCAGAUAUCGAAGGUGCUGAGGACGACACAUAAUCUAGGAUGGUGGAAUGCAAGCUAAGGCAGACUUAUAUAAGCAUAAUGAUGAAUUAGCUAAACAGCUAGAACACAUGGAGCAGAAGCUCGAAGAACUUCUUGAUAUUGUAGUGUCCAAGUGCAGACAAAUGAACAUUUCCGAGAAGCAACAACUUCGGAAUUUGAUUCAGACUCUGUCCCCAAAAAAUCAAGAUCGAGUUGUACAAAUUAUCAAAUGUAGAAAGCUACCAAGAGGUGGAAAAUCGUUCUACGAUCUGAACAUUGGUCUGGAUAAAGAAGGAUAAUGGAACACUUUGGAGAUUGUGCUAUUACGUGCGAGCAGCUGAAAAUGAUAAACGACUUUCAUUAGCGGAACUGCAGCAAGGAAAGGUCGUGGUGAUAAACUAAGAUAAUGGAAUGUGAUUGGCAGGCCAUAUCAAAGGGAGGUGGACAGACACGUGAGCAUGUCCUCUUAGUCCUAGCCAAAACAUUUGGUGCCCUUAAGUUACAUAUUUUUUUCAAAAAAAUGGACGAUAUGGUCUAUUGAUAGGUGCUUACACUGUGCUUCAACGUUUUUUUGCAUUUAUUAUGUUUCUCUUCUUUCCAGUUUAGCAAUAUUUUUCUUACAAGAAGCUAGACGAAGGCUGGUUAGGCAAUGCAGAUAAAGUUUCUGCACCGGAGUUUGCAAAGGUACUGAUGGAAAGAAAGGUGGUUUCGAAACUGGAACCCCUGAUGGCUAAUCUCACCUCAGAUCCAGAUGUUACUGCUCAAACCGCACCUGUGCAAUAUUAUGCAACCUAGAGUUGCUGCAUUCAGGCUGGAAAAUGGUUAUAGAGAUUUGAGGGAUGCACUGGAUUCAGACACUAUUAGGUUUUAAGAAAUGGCGUUCUUUGUUGCAUGUGAACAAGGGACACAACACAUGGAUGCUCUACUGUAUUUUGUUCUGAAUUUAGAAUUUCAUCAUUUUUCUGUGUAAUUUUAAACCAAAUGGAUAAAAUGAAUGAAUGAUAGAAUGUUGAAUUCUCAGUUUGAGUUUAAUUUUGAGUUAAAUUUGAAUAUCAGUUAAGGUUCCAUUUGAGUGUAAUGGACUUGACUUUAU